GGAGGUUGUGCCCUUGAGGCGUGGCUUCCGGAGCUAACGCGUUAAGUCGACCGCCUGGGGAGUACGGCCGCAAGGUUAAAACUCAAAUGAAUUGACGGGGGCCCGCACAAGCGGUGGAGCAUGUGGUUUAAUUCGAUGCAACGCGAAGAACCUUACCUGGUCUUGACAUCCACGGAAGUUUUCAGAGAUGAGAAUGUGCCUUCGGGAACCGUGAGACAGGUGCUGCAUGGCUGUCGUCAGCUCGUGUUGUGAAAUGUUGGGUUAAGUCCCGCAACGAGCGCAACCCUUAUCCUUUGUUGCCAGCGGUCCGGCCGGGAACUCAAAGGAGACUGCCAGUGAUAAACUGGAGGAAGGUGGGGAUGACGUCAAGUCAUCAUGGCCCUUACGACCAGGGCUACACACGUGCUACAAUGGCGCAUACAAAGAGAAGCGACCUCGCGAGAGCAAGCGGACCUCAUAAAGUGCGUCGUAGUCCGGAUUGGAGUCUGCAACUCGACUCCAUGAAGUCGGAAUCGCUAGUAAUCGUGGAUCAGAAUGCCACGGUGAAUACGUUCCCGGGCCUUGUACACACCGCCCGUCACACCAUGGGAGUGGGUUGCAAAAGAAGUAGGUAGCUUAACCUUCGGGAGGGCGCUUACCACUUUGUGAUUCAUGACUGGGGUGAAGUCGUAACAAGGUAACCGUAGGGGAACC
rnacentral:rRNA from 1 species